GAAAUGCGAUAAGUAGUGUGAAUUGCAGAAUUCAGUGAAUCAUCGAAUCUUUGAACGCACAUUGCGCCCUUUGGUAUUCCUUAGGGCAUGCCUGUUCGAGCGUCAUUUAAACCUUCAAGCUCAGCUUGGUGAUGGGUGACUGUCCUCCCCUCGCGGGGGGGACGCGCCUCAAAAACAUUGGCGGCCGGUACAUUGGCUUCGAGCGCAGCAGAAACGCGGUCUCGAGUCCGGUGGAUCGGCUCCCAUAAGCCUUCUUUUUUAUUUUGACCUCGGAUCAGGUAGGGAUACCCGCUGAACUUAAGC
rnacentral:misc_RNA from 1 species